GAUGAACGCUCGCGGGAGGCCUAACACAUGCAAGCCGAGCGGUAGAGUUUCUUCGGAAACUUGAGAGCGGCGCACGGGUGCGUAACACGUGUGCAACCUACCUUUAUCUGGGGGAUAGCCUUUCGAAAGGAAGAUUAAUACCCCAUAAUAUAAUGAUUGUCAUCAAUUAUUAUUGAAAACUCCGGUGGAUAGAGAUGGGCACGCGCAAGAUUAGAUAGUUGGUGAGGUAACGGCUCACCAAGUCAAUGAUCUUUAGGGGUCCUGAGAGGGAGAUCCCCCACACUGGUACUGAGACACGGACCAGACUCCUACGGGAGGCAGCAGUGAGGAAUAGUGGACAAUGGGUGAGAGCCUGAUCCAGCCAUCCCGCGUGAAGGAUGACGGUCCUAUGGAUUGUAAACUUCUUUUGUACAGGGAUAAACCUACCCUCGGGAGGGUAGCUGAAGGUACUGUACGAAUAAGCACCGGCUAACUCCGUG
rnacentral:rRNA from 1 species